AUUUUAGUGGCAGACUAGUGCGUUAGACUUAAGCUCUAAAUAAGGUAUAAUACCCUAAAAUA
rnacentral:tRNA from 1 species